UUCACUGAAAUGAUCAUCAGCUUGGAUUUUUAAUAUUAUCUUCAUGUUUAUUCAUCUGUCAGAAAACAUACACACACACACACACAGCCGCAGAAACCAGUACAUCAGUCAUCCAGGCACCCAUUCAGUCAGUCAGUCGGUCCGUCAGUCAGUAACGGUAUAUUGGCAACAUUGUUCAGAGGCACUGAGAGUGUGCUGAGGUUUUCACAGAGUACAGGAGUAUGUAUUGUCCUGCAGGGGGGAGGUUUGUGGCUCCUUACAGUGGAUGGAGGUGAAGGGUCCUGAUUUCUGUCAGUGUACAAGAAUGACUAAGUUUGUAGACCAGGGUACAUGGGCGUUAAUGUAAGGCUAAGUAUAAUCAAAGUGGACACUUUAACCACGGUGGCAAGAAAAGCUGCUCCUAUCUGACUUGUUGGAGUUUUAUUGCAACCCAGUACUCUUUAAAUGUCCUCUUUUGGCCCCAGACGACUGCUGAACACUGUUACCAAUCAUUCCUAUUCCACUCUACAUUUAUUUUAUAGGAGUUAUUAAGACAAAAUACAAUCAGAAUUUAACUUUAUCUAGUCACCAAAUUAAAUGUGAAAGCCUUUCUGUUGAUAUCAGAUAUUAAAAUUUCAUCUAUACAGUCUUGUUUGAAUCUGUUCCUGUUUGAAGAUUUCCAUCGUGUUCAGCAAUGUCCGGUUUCUCUACAAAUGUGUAGCUUUUAUAGUUCCAUCUGUUAGUUGGUGAAGUAUGGACAGUUAAUUACAACUUUGCCAAGACUCCCUCGCUUCCCCUCUGCUGCAUGGUCACUUACUGUCUUAAACCGCACCCUUUUCAGUCCAAUUAACACUUUACAAGAUGUUCCUUCUGCGUGUGCAUGCUUUGAAUGAAGGGGUGGUCGCUUUUUUCUUUGAGCAACAACCAUAGACUGUAUACAGAAUGGACGCUAUUUGCUUCCACGCUGGGUGAAGCCACUGCGAGAACAGCACCCUCUGGUGAUGGGCUGCAGUAUAGGUCAUAAACCCCGCCUCCUCCAGCAAUCCCUAUGAUGUUUAAAUCUGGUUAGUGUUAGAUUUGUGAAUUUCCUGGCAAACCUCACAGUGUCGCCCAUCUACCCUGGUCUGAUCAGUCCAACAGUGAUACACAGAGAUACAAACACAUAAUUAAGAUUAUUAUACAUAUCCAUAAAAGCUUCAACUUCUCACUUCUGUAAACAUCAGGAUAAAAAUAAUUCAGAGGCAAAAAAUGACAAAGGUUUCGCUUAAACAUCUCAUGAGCAUAAUUCCCUUUUACAAACACGACGAGUGGUUUCUUUAUAUUCAGUGCAAAAAACACAAAUGCUAUCCAAUGCCCUUUUAUAGAUUCUGCACAGCAUAAAAACAUUCCCAAACAAUCACUCAUAUAAAACAGCAUCCCUUUUGUCUCUCUAUCAUAGAAAUGUCUCAACAGUUUUGUUUUUAAAGUAUGACUUUAGUCAUGCACAAAAUAAAUCAGAUAGAAUUUAUACAGUGCAAUAUAUAACACUUCUCCAGUAUUUACAAAGAGGAACUGAAGUGUUAGUGUAAGUUUUGGUGCUGAAACACAUCAGCAUUGAGAUAAUAGCUUAGUUAAUAAGAGAGAAUCCACUGGAUAUAACAGAAUUAGUGGUUCAGAGUAAUACUUAUACUAUUUGAAAACCAUUAUAGCCUCUAAAAUCAGCUUGAUAAAAACAAACACAAACAGUACCUCAAAUAUUCGGACUAUAUCAACAUAUACCAGACCCUACACUAGCUAAACAGUCUCCUCAGUUCAGUUCAACCAAUUUAAAUGAACAAGAAGAAAAUAAAAGUGAAGGUUCCCAAAAUACGCGACCUCUCAGCAGAUAUGGCUGUAUGUAAAUGCUUUUAAUGAACACAGUGUUUUCUAGAUUUAGUUUGCACUUCACUGCUUGAAACAGAUCCUAAGAUGCAGAUCGGUGUAUUUUUGCACCAAUAUAGCCCACAACAACAGCAAUAGACAGUGGUGUGUUUAAGCCCCUGAAAUACAAAUGGUGGCUUGUUGUGUAAUUUUUCAGACUUUAUAAUUUUUUUAAAAUUAGAGCUCACUGGUUUGACUAUUCUCGUCAAUGGAGCAAAAACAAAAAAGGAGAUAAACUAACACUUUGUGGGAUUUGAAAGAUUAUUUUGCUCUUUCUGUGUUUCUUUUUGUUGGUGUUUGCUCUCACAUACCUGCCACUUUCAAGUCUGGCAUCAACAGUUCCCAAGGUUCAUGACUAAAUGAAGCCGUUUUAAAUGCCACGGGGCAGAAACUAAAUACAGGAAUUUUGGUAUGUGUCCUGUUGUCUAUCAAAUUGCAGCAGAAACUAACGACCGAUCUGCUGGAGUGGAAGAAAAACAGGCAGACAAAAAAAUCCUCCUGUAAAUGUUAUAUAACAGGAAACUUUUUCUGCAGUCAUUUGCAACUUGUAGAAACUUAUGAAGGUCCUUAAACUUUUGACAGAAGGUUCCUUUAUCAAACAAGACAGCGAGCUUCAUAAAUAAUGCAAAACUUGCCUCAUUUGAUUAACUUUAGCUCCCAAGCAAAUAUUCGACCUAUUAAAGUAGAAUAAUGAAACAUAAUGAGGUGGACCUGGGACCUGUGGGGGCUCAGGGGUCACGGGGGUUCUGAUUUCUCACUUGUAUCGUAAAAGGAAUCAAUCUAAGGAUGAAAAAUACAUCUUUGGUUGUCCAUAUUAAGACUAAAUCUAGUAGAUAUUGCCACAUCCUAAGAGAUUCAUCAACCCAGAGUUUGAGAUUCAGUAAUUAAGAGGAACAACAAGGUUAUCUAGAAGGUCCUGGCGGCAAAGCUUGUUAUUAGCUAAAUUAGGCGUCUUGAAAUAAUGUGUUUUCCUCCAUCUUAAGAUUUCAUGCAUUCAUUGAAGGUGUUCUGCACUGAGGUGCAACCCUCAUUUUGAAUUCAGGAGCCUGUCAACAUAAUAAAAGGUUGUGCCUUCCAUGCUUUCAAGUAAUACAAAGCAUGUUAUUUCUUGGAGGAGGAGGAGGAGGAGGAGGAAGGAGGAGGGAGGAGUGCUAUUAACAGACUGAAAAUGUGUCUCAUGUUAAGAAUUCCUCGACUGGUUGUGUCUCACCCACAGCUUCGGAUCCAGCUCUGCUUUCAACACCUCUCCUUUGUUCUUGUUUGAUUAAAAACAUACAGCGCAGCGGGGCUAAAAAAACAACCUAUUUUUCUAUUUUCUACGCUCUGUUUGCUCCUUUUCCUGGCCGUCAAUCCAGUUACAUGUUUUAAUUCCCCCAAACGCCAAAGCAUUUCGUCCUCACAGUGUUUUCUUCCGAGUGCCCCCAUGAGCGUGAUCAGGUGUGUGUUCAUGCUCCAGAGACAAAAAUCUAAGAUGUGAACAGCUGCCUGUCUCCAGAGACGACUAAACACACCAGAGAGACAGCCAGAGUGCUGCUUCAUUACACUUUGUAACACAUCUAAUUAAGGGGGCUGAUAAGGCCUUUGACUGCGUGUGUGUGAGAGAGAGUGAGUGUGCAUGCAGUGGGAAAAAUAGAAGAUAAAGUGAAAUGUUGUGAGUGUUUCCCCCACUUUAAAGCCUCAGAUUUUCCUUUUUUUUUUUUUUUACUUUUCGGUGAAUGUUUUGAAUUCUGGACGUUAAAAGGAAAAUCUGCUUCACUGCAGAUGACUUGCAAAUAACUUUUAACCCUUUAAUGCCUUGUGUAUCAUAUUUGAUACAUACGUUUAUAUACUUGUAUCAAAUCAAUACGAUUAACAAAUUACAAAAUAAUAAAAAAACAUGAAUACAGUCCGAUAAAUUAUAAAAAUGUCCUCUUCUAGUUUAUAAGUUUCCAAAAACAUCUACUGUAUCACACAAGACAAAUGGUUUGCAUUAAAUAAGCUGUUGUUAAAUGAAAGUAAAAGUAAAUUUAUGUUGUUUGGUGGUAAAAGGACUAACACUGAGGUAAAACUGAAUUUGAACAAUGUUGAAAUUGAAAGAGUAUAUGAAACUAAAACAGAAAUUAUCCAAGUCUGUUUCUAUUCUUUAUCAAACAAGAGAUUUACUGAAUAAGAACUGCCUUCAUUUGCUGUACUUUUCACUUGUGAUGCCUUAUAUGACACACUGUGCUGAAAUUAGGGGAAAUGCAUAUAAAACGAAUUUGGAUCCAAUAAUUAAACAGCAGAAAAGAUCUAUUGGGAUAAUAAAUGAAGUUGGAUACCGUGAUUCUACAAAUCAGCUUUUUAUAAAAUCACAAACAAUAAAAUUUCUGGACAUUGUAUAUUUAAAAACAUUAGAAAUUAUGUUUCAAGUGGUAAAUAAGACAAUUCCUGUUGUUUAAGCUAAGGCAGGGGAUUUAUAACUUAAGGCGGCUGCUAAUGUUUGAAACUUACAAAGUCAGGACUAAUCAGAUGUGUGUCAGUUUGGGUGAAACGAUGAAAUAAAGAUGUGUAAUUCUGUGUUAGUUUUCAGGAAGACUUUAAAAUCUAAAAUUAUCAAAGGUUACAAUGAAAUUGGAUUGAAUUCAAUUUUUCAGUUUAAGCUAUUAUGGGCUCUAUUUUCGUUCCCCGCUGGCGGCAUAGUAUAAGCGCGGCAUAAGUCAGGUCCGCCGUGCCAACAAGGUGUGCCCAAGCACAUUUUGGUAUUUUGGUGAGCGGUGCAGCCCGGCGUAAGUAUCCCCUCUCCCUAGCUCAGCUCCUCCCAGCGGCGUAAGUCAUAGAGAGGGUGUGGUCAUUCAUUCAUUCAAAUGAAUAUAUUUGUUAAAUUUUAAGGACAUUUUUAUUUUUGGGGGUUUUCAGUCGUAAGUGAAAUAAACAUUUCAGCUCCAAAAAAAUUUGAAUUUUCUGGCCAUAAUCUGUGGUGUCAGGCAUUAAAGGGUUAAAUCACUUUUUAAAUACAUGAUUUAUUUAUUUUUUUUGCCUCACUAAUUUUGUCUUUUCUACUCUGUUACGUCUCCUAAAAACAUUUUAGACCACAGCCACGAUGAAGGCACAGCGCACACUUUUAGGUAGUCAAGUUAUGACUGCAUACACUGCAUUGUGAUCACCUCAGUGCAACUAAUUAGUUCACACAGACAAGUGAACAGAAACAGAAAAUCACCUCUGAUUCCAGUUAUAUAACCAGUUUUUCCACAGCGGGUUCAACGAUAAAAAAAUAAAAAAAUAAAAAAAUCAGGACCAUGAGCGCACAAGGAGAAAAACAAACAAACAAACAAGAGAAAUCUGCCUGAAAAUCCAGACAAAAUCUUUCACACUCCUCUGCAGCUGUUUCUCACUGCAGUAAAACCUGGUUAUGUCCCCUCCGGGCAUCAACACUGAUUGGGAGAAUUUAAUGGUAUGUCUUACAACCAAAAAACAUCCAGGAGCUCAGCACACGUUCAUUUGCAAUUUGCAAGCUAAUUACUAGUCUGGAUGUAACUGCUUUCGGCUGCUUUUUGGCACCCUGAAGAGUCCAAAAGGUGUUUGUGUGUUUCUACCUCUCAGUACCAUUUGAGUUGUUCCAUCGUGACUAAACUUCAGCUUAGGAAAUCUCAGCUUUAAAAUAAUGAUGAGGAAAGCAGCUUUUAACUACACAUGAAUGUUACCAAAGUUACUUCACAAUCAACUAAAAGGUCAGCUAGAAUGAAGUAUGAAGGGCUUAGAGUACAGUCCAAAC